AUAUUCAGUGCGGAGGUGUGGGAAUGAGACUGAGAGACAUGCUGUUACCUUCAGUGCAUCCAAUCUAAAUGUGUGUUGUAGCUGUCAAAUGUUUGAAUUUGAAGGUAUUCUGUGUAGACAUGUUUUGAGAGUCUUCAAUCUGUUGGAUAUAAGGGAAAUUCCACCUUGCUAUAUCUUGCAUCGGUGGACAAAAAAUGCUGAAUAUGGGACUAUUCGUGAUAUUGAAUCUGGUGUUAGCCCUCAGGAACUCAAGUCCUUAAUCAUGUGGAGUUUGAGAGAAACAGCCUGUAAAUUCGUAGAGGCUGGAACAACAUCUCUUGAAAAAUACAAAAUUGCCUAUGAGAUAAUGCGAGAAGGUGGAAUAAAACUUCGCUGGCAAAGGUAAGCACUGGGGUCAAAAGUCAGGUGUCAUUCUAGGGC
rnacentral:misc_RNA from 1 species